rnacentral:rRNA from 1 species
CCUACGGGCGGCCGCAGUGAGGAAUAUUGGUCAAUGGGCGCUAGCCUGAACCAGCCAAGUAGCGUGAAGGAUGACUGCCCUAUGGGUUGUAAACUUCUUUUAUAUGGGACUAAAGUUCAGUAUGUAUACUGCUUUUCAUGUACCUUAUGACUCAGGAUCGGCUAACUCCGUGCCAGCCGCCGCGGGAAUACGGAGGAUUCGAGCGUUCUCCGGAUUUAUUGGGUUUAACGGGAUCGUAGGCGGGUGGUUAAGUCAGUUGUGAAAGUUUGCGGCUCAACCGUAACAUUGCAGUUGAUACUGGCAGAUGUGAGUACAGUAGAGGUAGGCGGAAUUCGUGGUGUAGCGGUGAAAUGCUUAGAUAUCACGAAGAACUCCGAUUGCGAAGGCAGCCUGCUGGACUGUAACUGACGCUGAUGCUCGAAAGUGUGGGUAUCAAACAGGAUUAGAUACCCCAGUAGUC